GUGGAUUAGAUACCCUGGUAGUCCACGCCCUAAACGAUGAUCACUGGGUGUUGGGGGAGCGAUCUCCUAGUACCGUAGCUAACGCGUGAAGUGAUCCGCCUGGGGAGUACGGUCGCAAGAUUAAAACUCAAAGGAAUUGACGGGGACCCGCACAAGCGGUGGAUGAUGUGGAUUAAUUCGAUGCAACGCGAACAACCUUACCUACCCUUGACAUGUCUGGAAGGCCGCCGAGAGGUGGUUGUGCCCGAAAGGGAACCGGAACACAGGUGCUGCACGGCCGUCGCCAACU
rnacentral:rRNA from 1 species